CGUACGCAACCUUCCCAAAACAGGUGAAUAGCCCUCCGAAAGGAGGAUUAAUACACCGUACCAUAUGGAUGUGGCAUCACAAUCAUAUUAUAGGCAGCAAUGUCGGUUUUGGAUGGGCGUGCGCCUGAUUAGGUAGUUGGCGGGGUAACGGCCCACCAAGCCUCCGAUCAGUAACUGGUGUGAGAGCACGACCAGUCACACGGGCACUGAGACACGGGCCCG
rnacentral:rRNA from 1 species